AAAACAGCUACCAAUGUGAACGACGUGUUCUAUGAGAUUGCGAAGAAACUGCUUCAAGGGCAGCAGGUUCAGAACCCACAAGGCGGGAUGGUUCUCAACCAGAGACCACCUGAGAGGAUGGUGGUCCAGAAAAAGAGUUAAAAGCAAUGCAGUACUUGGAGAGAAGAGAGUGUGAGUACGACCAGAAGAUAUCCAUUGAUUUCUACAAUGAAGGAGAUCCCUUGAAACCAGCUAUGACGGGCGUCUUAGUUUAAGGAUCUGAAGUUCCAAAACCAAAAAUACCAAUUCCAUGCUAUUUGCUGAUGUUGCUCUGUGGAACUCAUAACUUGGUGUUCAUGCAAGUUCGUUUCCACUCCAGAUCCAAUUGGCAACAAGUACUAUCUUGGCCCUGCUCCUUUGCAGGAUAUGGCAAGGCAAAUUGCUACAGCCAAUGGCCCUACUGGCUAUAAUAGGGAUUACCUGUUCUCAAUGGAGAAGGCAUUAGCCAGCAUUAGCCACGAAGAUGAUUCGAUCAUAGAGCUUGCAAACGAGGUGAGGAAGGUGCUCAACAGAACAAAGAAGACCAAGAUCACUGGAGCCAAUGCUUCCCUGAAAUCACAUGCCCAUUAUGUUUUUUAUUAUGAUUUGGUAUCUUCUCCGUGUCUGUGAACAAGAAAGAUUAUGUUCCCCUGAAUAUAGAUCGCUG